CCCAUGUCAGUCCAAUCCCACUGUCCCAGAUUCUCAACUUUCCAGACUCCAGAGCAGAACAAGCCCUAGCCCUAUUGUGGCACAAAACCCUUCUUCUUCGACCCUAUUCCGACGUAAAACCCUUCGUCUUACACACUUUGAACUAGCAGGAGCCCUUUGUGAGUUCGUCAAGAGCUUCGUAAGUUCGUUGUUGACCCUUUGAACCAACAAGAGGAGCUUCGUGAGUUGGUUUUCCACACUGCAAACCGGCAGGAGCCCUUCGCAAGUUUGUCAAGAGCUUUGUGAGUUCAUCGUCGACAUUUCGAACCAAAAGGAGAUCUUAGCAAGCUCAUCUUCGAGCCUUCAUGAGUUUAUCUGCUUUGAAGUUCGAACUUUUGGAUGUUUUGGUGAUACAUGAUAUGGCUUUAACCAAGUGCAGAAACAACAAAACUGUCCAUGGUUGUAAUAUGUGCUAAAUCAGCUUGUUGUAUUAAAUUGGUUGGAUGUUUUGGUGAUACAUGACAUGGCUUUAACCAAGUGCAGAAACAACAAAACUGUCCAUUGUUGUAAUCUAUGUUAAAUCAGCUUGUUGUAUUAAAUUGGGUAUGUGUGUGUAUAUAUAUAUAUUAUACGGAUGUAGUAUGCAUGUAUGUACGUACAUGGUCGCUUUCAAGAUACUUCUAAAGACUAAGGAUAUUUCAUAACAACUAAUAUUUCACGACUCCCUAUCCAGGAUAAA